UGCGACAAAACAAUAUUUCUUUGUUCAAGAUACAUCUUAUCCAUUGAUUUUAGGACAACCUUAUAUUACAGUGUCAUAAUACGUGAAGUUUUACUAGAGAAUGCUCCAAGCACCUAGCUGUGGAAGGAAGAAUGGAAAUUGCAAUAAAAACAACCUUAAUUCUAAUAGAAUAAUAAUAAUGCUCUAAUUAGACCAUAAUAAUGCUAAGCAAGCUUAAUAAAAUUCAAAAAAAACUUCAAAAAAAUUUCAAAUAAAUAAUAAAAAUUCUUAAAGAAAUACUAGAAGGAUCACAAAUAUCACUCAAAUACAUCUCAAUUCAAUCUUAAUUUAAUUCUAGUUUAAAUCCUAUUGAACUUCAUUCAAAAUUUAGGCCAAAACUAAUUGAAUCUUAAAUCCUAAUAAAAUCCUAAAUCCUAAAUCAGACCUUAAACAAACCUUAAACCAAACCACAACCAAAUCCUAAACCAAAUCCUAAUCAAAUCCUAAACCAAAUCCUCAAUCCUAAAUCAAACCCUAACCAAACCCUAAUCCAAAUCCUAAACCCUAAACCAAAUCCUAAUUCAAAUCUUAAAUCCUAAACAAAAUCCUAAUUAAAUCCUACAUCCUAAAUCAAAUCCUAACCAAACCCUAAAUCCUAAAUCAAACCCUAACCAAAUCCUAAACCAAACUCUAAAUCAAAUCCUAACCAAAUCCUAAAUCUUAAAUAAAAUCUUAAUCAAAUCUUAAAUCAAAUCCUAACCAAAUCCAAAAUCCAAAAUUAAAUCCUAAUCCAAAUCCUAAAUCCUAAACCAAAUCCUAAACCCUAAAUCCUAAAUCAAAUCCUAAUCCAAAUCCUAAACCCUAAACCAAAUCCUAAA
rnacentral:lncRNA from 1 species